rnacentral:pre_miRNA from 1 species
UACGCAAUCCCUAGGUUACCAUGUCAGAUGGUAAACUAUGGAUUGCGCUUC